rnacentral:lncRNA from 1 species
GACAUAAAUUUCUGCUCUAAUGGGUGUUCCAGGCCAAGCUGCGCCUGAUGAAACUUCCACUUUCACAUUCGUCAUGUAGAAGUGUUUGGUUCCCUAGGAAAAGAAAGCUCUCUCUCCCUUACACUGGUGACGGAGUCUGCACACAUUGUCCUCCCCUGUCCGCUGCAGUGCGGCUUGGGAGUCAGGCAGAGCGCUGGGGUGGCGGUGUUCCUUGAUCGCUCCCUUCCCCAAGUUCCUGGAGGCUCUGCCUGGAUCAGAUGUUAACCAGGCCCGUGUGAAGGAUCUCAUGGAAUGGAAUGGCCGUAAGCCCCAGGACCCACAAACCCUGUGUCCACUCUGCAGUCACCAGGGGAUCCUGCACAGUGGGAAACACAUUGAGACCGAGGACAGGUGCCCAGCGAGCCGUGUCCAACAUGCAUCUUGUACUUGCCCCACAGUCUCCACAGGACAGUUCUAUUUGUGAAAAAAAUAUGAAUUUCUGUGCAUCUAAGUGUCUCUAAAAAUUAUAUAUCUUUUGUCUCCUAUCCAUCUGUACUCUUUAUCUCCCCAAACUCUUUUAAAAAUGAUAUUUAUUAUUUUUCCCUAUUAAAAAAAGCAUAGAUUCUUUUUCAUAGGAAGUUUGAAAAAUAAUUAGAAAUAUAAUGAUGAAAAAUUCUCAGGUCAAUAGCAGCAACUACUGCUAACAUAUAUAAAAUUAGCGUUUCUUCCAAUAUAGACCCCAAAAUUGCCCUUUGCACUGAUGGUAUAGGUGCUGGAAAAAAGUCUUCUAAAUUUAGGUUCUGUUUGGUUUCAGACCAUGGAGAGAGGGGAAAAAAUAAGGAUGUUGGUAGACUUAGCAGCAGCUGGGAGCUCAUUGCUUUUUCGUUAUGUAAAUAGCUCAUGUUUCUCUGAAUAACCAAUUUGUUGUCAAAUGGAGGACAUGGGCACUCCUACUCACCUACUGUGAGUGCCCUGGCUUGACAAUGCAUUUCUAAAGACCAAAAAACAUGCAUAACCUUCCAGUAACUUUAGAUUAUGUACAUAAUGGUUAAGUAUAUAACUGUAUAUGAUAUAAUACUCCCAGCCAGUAAAAAAUACGUAAAUAUUAAAAUAAAAACCUUUGUAAUAUAGUAAAUGAAAAAAGG